CCUUUGUGAAGCUCAUCCUACAACUAUCUCGUUCCAUUUAUUAAUAGGAUGAAUCAAUUCCGGUUUUGUGGAUCGAUUUCUGAAUAGCUCAAUCCACGCAAACGAUGACGUUUACAAAGCUUUACUGAUAAGAACGAAUCUCAAAACAGUCAGGAAAAUUGAUAACUCUGCAUGCAAUGCACGAUGGCAAGUGUAUCACAUGCUUCAUUAUAAAUAAGUGUGUUUCUUCUUCUUUCCCUCAUCGUUCAAUCCUAAGAAUUCUCUCUACAAGUUGUUUUUUGCAAAGUUUGCUCCAUCACUAGCAAAGGAGUUUCCAAAUAUUUCUCUAUUUCCUCACGAGAAUUGUUUCUAUGUUACAAGAGGACAGAAGAAGAUGUAGUCCCACAAAAGAAGCAACAAAGAUGUCUCGAUAUCAAGGAGAAUUGAAUAAGAAUAUAUGGAGAUCGAUCUACAAUUUCUUGUUCCUACCCUUGUUCCAAGAUAUUUAAGCCCUUGAUUUUGUUAUUUCACGCCUUGAAUCA